UGUUCCAAAUAGUUCUAAUUUUGGUUUCGUAUUCCGUUUUAUGAGAAGCAUAGAAUGGCAAGUUUGUAAUGUCAAAAUAACGUAUAACGUACGUAAAUGUUUAUUCCUUAUUAUUAACGGAAAGAGUUUAUCCAGGGAGAAAAAAAUACUUUGUUUCAUUUCAAAAUUGCUAUAUAUACGAAACUAAAUGUAAGCAUCACUAUCGUUCAUGGAUGAAAAUGGAAGAAGAACUCGAUGAUCUUUGAGAUAAAUCAACUGAGUAUGAACAGUGGAAUAGACAGCAGAAUGAACUUUAAAAUGUUUUUAAUUUGUUUAAAUAAAUGAUUUAUGGUUUGAUUCUUGAA